rnacentral:lncRNA from 1 species
AGUAGAUGUGGCUGCCGGAGAGGGGACUAGUAAGUCACCCACUGAACCAGCUAAUCAAAGUGAGGCUCCAGCUGAGCAUGCAUCAGAAACUUCCCCCAGUCCGGAAUAAAUAAGGGGGAGGAGAACUAUAUCCCCAGAGCCACCUAUUAAUGUUGUUGAUCAAGAUCUUAGAAAUGCAGUGCAACUUUUGACUUGUAUAGUUGCUGGGCAAGCUCAAAGGCAAGUCAUUC